AUACAGAUGACCUGGGAACCUUGUUAAAAUGCAGAUUCUGAUUCACUAGUUCCGGGGCCAGGGUGAGAAUCUGCGUCUCUAACAAGCUUCCAGUUCAUGCUGGU
rnacentral:pre_miRNA from 1 species